ACAGAGUCCUGCUCUGUCACCCAGGCUGGAGUGCAGUGGCAUGAUCCUGUCUCAUUGCAACCUCUGCCUCCCGGAUUCAAGCGAUUCUCGUGCGUCAGCCUCCCAAGUAGCUGGGAUUACAGGCGUGAGCCCCUGUGCCCGCCCCCCCCACUUCUGGACCACUGAAGCACAACCACACUUUGGAGCCAGAAGAGGAGCUGAAAUGUCAAUUGGAGAGGACUUUCCUGCUCUAAAAGGUGAGGAAGACAGCACAAGUAACUUGCCAAAGAUAAGUGGCUAAUAAGUGGCAGAGCGAGGGUUUAAAGCAGGCAUGAAGGUGCUGCAGCCCAUGCACUUAGCCCCAACAUCAUGCUGCUCUCUGACUCACCAGCUAACCAAGUAAAUAAACGACAGUGAUGAGGUAAAUAAACAGGAUGAGGUAAAUAAAGAGGCUUACACAGUGCUCUAAAAGGAUGCUUUGAAGGAAGGGAAGAUCCCAACGAACCAGCCAUGAGAAGAACCCUUUACAGAGGGAAUAACAAGUGGCAAAGCUUCCCAAGUGAGGGUGGGGAAGAACCUGAUGGGUUUUGGAACUCAAAGUUUCUUCCUCUAACGUUCACCAAUUUAAUCUUUCCCUACAUAGAGUAAAUUGAGUUCCCCUGCUAUUAACAUUUGUUUUGUG
rnacentral:lncRNA from 10 species